rnacentral:rRNA from 1 species
AUGGCAGGAGGAAAGUUUACAUUUCAACAAGGGGUCAUCCGUUUCCGAGGACGCAUGUGGCUUGGCAACAAUGUGAAACUCCAAAAUCAGAUUAUGCGUGCCCUACACGACAGUGCAAUUGGCGGCCACUCUAGGUUCCCGGCAAUGUACAGCAGGAUCAAGCAGCUCUUCACGUGGCCUGGGAUGAAGUUGCAGAUCAAAACACAUGUCCAAACCUAUCAGGUAUGUCAACAAGCCAAGCCAGAUAGAUCACCCUAUUCGGGGCUACUUCAUCCACUUCCAGUUGCCAAAAGAUGUUGGGAUUUGGUUUCUUUGGAUUUUAUUGAGGGUCUUCUGCCAUCGGGCAGAGCAAACUGCAUCUUGGUCGUAGUGGAUACAUUUUCCAAGUAUGCACAUUUUCUGCCGGUCACACAUCCAUACACCGCCACCCAGAUUGCGCAGUUGUAUAUCGAAAACGUGUACAAAUUACAUGGUAUGCCAGAAGCACUAAUAUCAGAUAGGGAUGCAGUGUUCACUAGUCGGGUCUGGCAAGCAAUUUUCAAGCUGCAGGGUGUUGAACUGAAGAUGAGUUCUUCCCAUCAUCCACAAACGGACGGGCAAACAGAACGGGUGAAUUAG